rnacentral:rRNA from 1 species
UGGACUUACAGUUAUCGGGAUGAGAGCAAUCCAUGCAUGUCUAGCGCUCUGCAGCUAUGUAGAGAUCGCGGCGAGCAGGCUCAAUAACACGUAGUUAACCUAUCCCUCGGGAUGCGUAUAACCCUGCCAAACUGGGAUUAAUACCCAAUAGAUGAUUAUACCUGGAAUGGCUUAUCAUCGAAAGAGUCUGGGUACCUGUUUCCAGCGUCGCCCGAGGAUGGUACUGCGUCGGAUCAGGUAGUUGGUGGGGUAAUGGCUAGCCACUCAGAUAUCUGGUACGGUCCAUGAGAGGAGGAGUCCGGAGAUGGAAAUUGAGAAAAGGUUCCAGGCCAUCCGGGGUGCAGCAGGCCCGAAACCUCCACAAUGCGCCCAAGCGUAUUGGGGUUAUCCCGAGAGCCGUCCGAUGAGGAUGGCUUGUCACCGACGUAAGGAUUUGAUAGAAUAAAGGGGGGGCAAGUCUCGUGUCAGCCUUCGCGGUAAUACCAGCCCCGUGAGUGGUAAGGACUUUUAUUUGUUGCGGAGGUUCCGUAGCCGGCUUAUCAAGUCUUUUGUUAAAUCCAACGAUUUAAUCAUCUCGGGCAAAAGAUACUGUUAUGCUAGAGGACGGGUGAGGUUGACGGUAGUCCAGGGGUAGGGCUGAAAUCAUAUAAUCCUUGGAGGACCACCAGUGGCGAAGGCGGUCGACUAGCAUGUGCCUCACGGUGAGGGAUGAAAGAUGGGGGAGCGAACCGGAUCAGAUUCCUGGGUAGUCCCAGCUGUAAAUGAUGCGGAAUACGUGUUGGGGCAUUCCCGAGGUGCUCCUUCUCCGCAGAGAAGUUGUUAAACCCGCCGCGUGGGGAGUACGGCCGCAAGGUUAAAAAUCCCAGUAAACUGCGGGGGGCUC